CAGCCGCCGCGGGAAUACGUAGGUGGCAAGCGUUGUCCGGAAUUAUUGGGCGUAAAGGGCUCGCAGGCGGUUUCUUAAGUCUGAUGUGAAAGCCCCCGGCUCAACCGGGGAGGGUCAUUGGAAACUGGGAAACUUGAGUGCAGAAGAGGAGAGUGGAAUUCCACGUGUAGCGGUGAAAUGCGUAGAGAUGUGGAGGAACACCAGUGGCGAAGGCGACUCUCUGGUUUGUAACUGACGCUGAGGAGCGAAAGCGUGGGGAGCGAACAGGAUUAGAGACCCCUGUAGUCCCUGUCUCUUAUAC
rnacentral:rRNA from 1 species